GAUGAACGCUGGCGGCGGGCCUAACACAUGCAAGUCGAACGAGUGGCGGACGGGUGAGUAAUGUAUGGGAACCUGCCCGAUGGAGGGGGCUGACUACUGGAAACGGUAGCUAAUACCGCAUAAUGCAGGAUCGGGCCAGAUGGGAUUAGCGUGUAGGUGGGGUAACGGCUCACCUAGGCGCCGAUCCCUCGCUGGUCUGAGAGGAUGACCAGCCACACUGGAACUGAGACACGGCCCAGACUCCUACGGGAGGCAGCAGUGGGGAAUAUUGCACAAUGGGCGCAAGCCUGAUGCAGCCAUGCCGCGUGUAUGAAGAAGGCCUUCGGGUUGUAAAGUACUUUCAGCGAGGAGGCGUUACUCGCAGAAGAAGCACCGGCUAACUCCGUGCCAGCAGCCGCGGUAAUAC
rnacentral:rRNA from 1 species